rnacentral:lncRNA from 1 species
AGCGUGAGAGACAAUGACAAGGGUGUGUUCUUCAUAGCACCACCCAUCAUGUGGAGUGUGUCACCGAGUACUUUAGUCUGAGCAUAUAAAAGAGGUGAGAUACAUCUCUAGAGGGUUCAGAAAAUUACAAAGACUGGAAGAGAAUCAAAGCAUUUUAAGAACCAUACCGGUUCAGGGCCAACAAACAGGUAUACUUCCCUUUAUCUAGCACAUGACACAGCACUGAACAUGUGGACUUUGUUACUUGUAUUUGCUACUGGAUCACCAGCUCUACUUCAGGCUGCACCUGUUCAGGCAAAGGCUAUGGUUACAAAGCCCAUAAUUAAUCUGCAGGUAUGACAAUUUCAGCUGACUUCUGCUGUUAUCUGUGAGACUUUAAAGACUGCAUCCAUAGAGGAAAAACUGAAUCAUAAAGGAAAAUGAAAAGUUCCCACAUUUCCACUCAUACAUUUGAAUAAGUUUUCCAGUUAAUCGUGAGUACAUAAUUUAUAGAUUUACAUUUGCAUUUCAGGUACGGAAUUAAUAAAUUAAAACGAUUAUUCUUAUUAAAUCUUCAAAACAGUCAGG